rnacentral:misc_RNA from 1 species
GAUGAAGAACGUAGCGAAAUGCGAUAAGUAAUGUGAAUUGCAGAAUUCAGUGAAUCAUCGAAUCUUUGAACGCAUCUUGCGCUCCUUGGUAUUCCUUGGAGCAUGCCUGUUUGAGUAUCAUGAGCAAAUCUCAAAGUCAAUUCCUUUUGUUAAUUCAAUUGGUUUUGCUUUGGACUUGGAGGUCUUGCAGAUUUUCACAGUCUGCUCCUCUUAAAUGCAUUAGCUGGAUCUCAGUAAUUAUGCUUGGUUCCACUCGGCGUGAUAAGUAUCACUCGCUGAGGACACUGUUUAAAAGGUGGCCAGGAAAAUACUGAUUGAACCGCUUCUAACGGUCUAUUAAGUUAGACAAUUACCCUUAAGUUUGAUCUCAAAUCAGGUAGGACUACCCGCUGAACUUAAGCAUAUCAAUAAGCGGAGGA